AUCAUAUGCCGAUACGUUGAAUGCUCAGACAUUUGAUUUGAGUAUUAUGAUUCUUAUUCUUUAAUAGGAAGAUCCGAUGC